CGACUGCUAUCGGGGUGGCGCUAAGCCAUGGGAGUCGCACAUCCCACCGCCGUGGGGUGUGGCGAACGGCUGAGUAACACGUGGCUAACCUACCCUCGGGACGGGGACAACUCCGGGAAACUGGAGCUUAUCCCCGAUAGGCGGGGAGUCCUGGAACGGUUCUCCGCCCAAAGGGAUGGGAGGGGGUUAUCGCCUUCUAUCCGCCCGAGGAUGGGGCUGCGUCCCAUCAGGUUGUUGGCGGGGUAACGGCCCGCCAAGCCUAUAACGGGUAGGGGCCGUGAGAGCGGGAGCCCCCAGAUGGGCACUGAGACAAGGGCCCAGGCCCUACGGGGCGCACCAGGCGGGAAACCUCCGCAAUGCGGUAACCCGUGACGGGGUCACCCCGAGUGCUCCCCUUAUGGGGAGCUUUUCCCCGCUGCAGGAAGGCGGGGGUAAUAAGUGGGGGGCAAGACUGGUGUCAGCCGCCGCGGUAAUACCAGCCCCACGAGUGGUCGGGACGGUUAUUGGGCCUAAAGCGCCCGUAGCCGGCCCAGCAAGUUCCUGCCUAAAUCACCGGGCUCAACCCGGUGACUGGUGGGAAUACUGCUGGGCUAGGAGGCGGGAGAGGCCGGGGGUACUCCUAGGGUAGGGGCGAAAUCCUAUAAUCCUAGGAGGACCACCAGUGGCGAAGGCGCCCGGCUGGAACGCGCUCGACGGUGAGGGGCGAAAGCUGGGGGAGCAAACCGGAUUAGAUACCCGGGUAGUCCCAGCUGUAAACGAUGCGGACUAGGUGUUGGACGGACCUAGGGUCCGUCCAGUGCCGCAGGGAAGCCGUUAAGUCCGCCGCCUGGGGAGUACGACCGCAAGGCUGAAACUUAAAGGAAUUGGCGGGGGAGCACCACAAGGGGUGGAGCCUGCGGCUUAAUUGGAGUCAACGCCGGGAACUUUACCGGGGGCGACAGCAGGAUGACGGCCAGGCUAAUGACCUUGCCCGACGCGCUGAGAGGAGGUGCACGGCCGUCGCCAGCUCGUGCCGUGAGGUGUCUGGUUAAGUCCAGCAACGAGCGAGACCCCCGCCCCUAAUUGCUACCCGCUCCUUCGGGAGCGGGGCACAUUAGGGGGACUGCCGGCGUCUAAGCCGGAGGAAGGUGGGGGCCACGGCAGGUCAGCAUGCCCCGAAACCCCCGGGCUGCACGCGGGCUACAAUGGCUGGGACAGCGGGAACCGACCUCGAAAGAGGAAGGUAAUCCCUCAAACCCAGCCGCAGUUGGGAUCGAGGACUGAAACCCGUCCUCGUGAACGAGGAAUCCCUAGUAACCGCGCGUCAUCAUCGCGCGGUGAAUACGUCCCUGCUCCUUGCACACACCGCCCGUCGCUCCACCCGAGUGGGGAGAGGGUGAGGCCCUGCUCCGAAUGGGGUAGGGUCGAACCCUCUCCCUGCGAGGGGGGAG
rnacentral:rRNA from 1 species